GGAUGUGAGGGUGAUCUGGCUGUGACAUCUGUCACCCCAUUGAUUGCCAGGGUUGAUUCGGCUGAUCUGGCUGACUAGGUGGGUGUCCCCUUCCUCCCUCACUGCUCCAUGUGCAUCCCUCCCAAAGCUGCAUGCUCGGUCGAAGAGGACAGCCUUCCCUGAAUAGAGACGGACCGGUCUUCGGUCGAGGGUAUACGAGUAGCUGUGCUCCCCUGCUAGAACCUCCAAACAAGUGCUCAAAAAUUUCAUUACAUGUAUAGAAUUUAGAAAUUAAGGGGCCAAGCAGUGGCACACCUGGUUAAGUGCACACAUU
rnacentral:snRNA from 1 species